rnacentral:rRNA from 1 species
GACGAACGCUGGCGGCGUGCUUAACACAUGCAAGUCGAACGGUGAGGCCCCAGCUUGCUGGAGUGGAUCAGUGGCGAACGGGUGAGUAACACGUGAGCAACCUGCCCCUGACUCUGGAAUAAGCGCUGGAAACGGCGGCUAAUACUGGAUACGAGAUCGGUCCGCAUGGUCACUGUCUGGAAAGUUUUUCGGUUGGGGAUGGGCUCGCGGCCUAUCAGCUUGUUGGUGGGGUAGUGGCUCACCAAGGCGACGACGGGUAGCCGGCCUGAGAGGGCGACCGGCCACACUGGGACUGAGACACGGCCCAGACUCCUACGGGAGGCAGCAGUGGGGAAUAUUGCACAAUGGGCGAAAGCCUGAUGCAGCGACGCCGCGUGAGGGAUGACGGCCUUCGGGUUGUAAACCUCUUUCAGCAGGGAAGAAGCGAAAGUGACGGUACCUGCAGAAGAAGCACCGGCUAACUACGUG